rnacentral:rRNA from 1 species
GACGAACGCUGGCGGCGUGCCUAAUACAUGCAAGUCGAACGAGAGCGACCGGUGCUUGCACUGGUCACUCUAGUGGCGCACGGGUGAGUAACACGUGGGUAACCUGCCCAUCAGAGGGGGAUAACAUCCGGAAACGGAUGCUAAAACCGCAUAGGUCUUCGAACCGCAUGGUUUGAAGAGGAAAAGAGGCGCAAGCUUCUGCUGAUGGAUGGACCCGCGGUGCAUUAGCUAGUUGGUGAGGUAACGACUCACCAAGGCCGUGAUGCAUAGCCGACCUGAGAGGGUGAUCGGCCACAUUGGGACUGAGACACGGCCCAAACUCCUACGGGAGGCAGCAGUAGGGAAUCUUCCGCAAUGGACGGAAGUCUGACGGAGCAACGCCGCGUGAGCGAAGAAGGUUUUCGGAUCGUAAAACUCUGUUGUUAGAGAAGAACAAGUGCUAGAGUAACUGUUAGCGCCUUGACGGUAUCUAACCAGAAAGCCACGGCUAACUACGUG